rnacentral:tRNA from 1 species
GCCUGACAAGCUAAUCUGGUGAAAGCGCCGCGCUGAAAACGCGGAGAGCGUGGAUCGAAACCACGGUCAGGCACCA